rnacentral:rRNA from 1 species
GCAGCAGUGAGGAAUAUUGGUCAAUGGGCGGGAGCCUGAACCAGCCAAGUAGCGUGAAGGACGACGGCCCUACGGGUUGUAAACUUCUUUUAUAAGGGAAUAAAGUUCGCCACGUGUGGUGUUUUGUAUGUACCUUAUGAAUAAGCAUCGGCUAAUUCCGUGCCAGCAGCCGCGGUAAUACGGAAGAUCCGAGCGUUAUCCGGAUUUAUUGGGUUUAAAGGGAGCGUAGGCGGGCUUUUAAGUCAGCGGUCAAAUGUCGUGGCUCAACCGUCAAGCCGUUGAAACUGUAAGCCUUGAGUCUGCACAGGGCACAUGGAAUUCGUGGUGUAGCGGUGAAAUGCUUAGAUAUCACGAAGAACUCCGAUCGCGAAGGCAUUGUGCCGGGGCAUAACUGACGCUGAGGCUCGAAAGUGCGGGUAUCAAACAGGAUUAGAUACCCUGGUAGUCCGCACGGUAAACGAUGAAUGCUCGCUAUGGGCGAUAUAUUGUCCGUGGCCAAGCGAAAGCGUUAAGCAUUCCACCUGGGGAGUACGCCGGCAACGGUGAAACUCAAAGGAAUUGACGGGGGCCCGCACAAGCGGAGGAACAUGUGGUUUAAUUCGAUGAUACGCGAGGAACCUUACCCGGGCUUGAAUUGCAGGUGCAUGAGUCAGAGACGGCUCUUUCCUUCGGGACUCCUGUGAAGGUGCUGCAUGGUUGUCGUCAGCUCGUGCCGUGAGGUGUCGGCUUAAGUGCCAUAACGAGCGCAACCCUUCUCCCCAGUUGCCAUCGGGUAAUGCCGGGCCCUCUGGGGACACUGCCAUCGUAAGAUGCGAGGAAGGUGGGGAUGACGUCAAAUCAG